UACGUAGGGUGCGAGCGUUGUCCGGAAUUAUUGGGCGUAAAGGGCUCGUAGGCGGUCUGUUGCGUCGGGAGUGAAAACUUACAGCUUAACUGUGAGCGUGCUUUCGAUACGGGCAGACUUGAGGCAUUCAGGGGAGAACGGAAUUCCUGGUGUAGCGGUGAAAUGCGCAGAUAUCAGGAGGAACGACCGGUGGCGAAGGCGGUUCUCUGGGAAUGUCCUGACGCUGAGGAGCGAAAGUGUGGGGAGCGAACAGG
rnacentral:rRNA from 1 species